UCUGUGUUCAUAUUCACUUCAACUUGACUACCUAGUACCUUGAAUUGAUACUCCAUGUCAUAUGAAACUGUGUUAUAUGAAACUGUGUUAUUUUUAGGACUAUGAUCCUGAAUCUCAUUAUGGUCCACAUUCAUCUUAUUAUGGGCGCAAUCAAUCAUAUGGUGGGGGUCACUACUAUUAGACCCUAGAACUAUUCGGGUUCUACUCUACUUUUCGGUGGCUCUGUUUUCUUGUGAUUAACGUUUACAAAUGAAAAGGAUUUGAUUCGAGGCCGGCAUAGUCCCAUCUGUAUCCAGUUUGAUUUCAAAAGAUUCUUUCCUCUUCUUUGUUUCUUUUGUUUGCACAUGCAAACAUUCUUCAUGUUGGAGUGAGGUUGUUCAACUCCUCUGCUAAUCAGGCAUAGCAUUUCAUGGCUUCUACUCAAUUCAUCCCACAGUUCUGCAUUUCUGCAUUUGGCCUUAAUGAUAUUAAUUUCUGCAUUUUAUUGGUUAUUGACUUGUUGCUUUCAAGAUAUUGGAUUAUUGGUUACUGCUUUAAUGUUGUGUUGUUGUGUCGGUAUCUUUGUGAUUUGUGCAUCAUGAUACAUGUUAUUGCUUUACUUUUUAAUUUUGUAUAAUUGUAUUUGUAAACUGAUCAAGUUUGAACUGUGAAUGCACAGAGUUGCAGACUUGCAGAUUUGUGUACUUGUCGAGUUGUCAUGGAGGUUUGGACUUGUGGAGCAAGGCAGCAGGUCGAGCAACUAGAGCCUAAAGGCCUAGAGCAGUGCAGCUUCAGUUAUUUCUUAGUUGGACAGUUUGACUAUUUGUGCAGAACUGCAAAUUGUGUUUAACUGUUUAUGUUUCUGUUGGACAAUGUAUUCUGGAUUUCUGGACUCUUGAGUUUGUGUUGUAAAUUGUAAACUGUGGCUAAAUUUGAUUAUUGCAAAUUGAUUAUAGUUAUGUUAAUGAGAUGCAUUAUAAUUUGAUUA